CAAGUUGUUUUCUAGGGUUCCGCGGUGCAGGAUGCCGGCUGGUCCGAGAGAAAACACACAGCGGAUACGCUGUGGUCACGGAGGGAGAAAAGCCCGGGAGUC
rnacentral:sRNA from 1 species